rnacentral:rRNA from 1 species
GUGCCAGCAGCCGCGGUAAUACGGAGGGUGCGAGCGUUAAUCGGAAUUACUGGGCGUAAAGCGCAUGCAGGCGGUUUGUUAAGUCAGAUGUGAAAGCCCGGGGCUCAACCUCGGAACCGCAUUUGAAACUGGCAGGCUAGAGUCUUGUAGAGGGGGGUAGAAUUUCAGGUGUAGCGGUGAAAUGCGUAGAGAUCUGAAGGAAUACCAGUGGCGAAGGCGGCCCCCUGGACAAAGACUGACGCUCAGAUGCGAAAGCGUGGGUAGCAAACAGGAUUAGAUACCCGAGUAGUCC